rnacentral:lncRNA from 1 species
GAAGCUAAUUUGGGGGUUUUUCUGAUUUCUUCUUUCCAAGCUUAAAUCAAGGUAAUAUCCAUCCUAAUCUAGCCUCUAUUCCUUCGAUCUAUACAUCUUUCUUAUCAAAUUCGAGUUUUUGAUUUCCAUUUUGAUUUUUGGUGCAUGAACCCGAUUUCUCCCUAAACCAUGAAGCUAGGCUAUGGGUUUGGCAAGGAUUUUUGGUGA